rnacentral:rRNA from 1 species
GACGAACGCUGGCGGCGUGCUUAACACAUGCAAGUCGAACGGAAAGGCCCUGCUUGCAGGGUACUCGAGUGGCGAACGGGUGAGUAACACGUGGGUGAUCUGCCCUGCACUUCGGGAUAAGCUUGGGAAACUGGGUCUAAUACCGGAUAGGAGCCAUCUUUAGUGUGGUGGUUGGAAAGUUUUUUCGGUGUAGGAUGAGCUCGCGGCCUAUCAGCUUGUUGGUGGGGUAAUGGCCUACCAAGGCGGCGACGGGUAGCCGGCCUGGGAGGGGGUACGGCCACAUUGGGACUGGGAUACGGCCCAGACUCCUACGGGAGGCAGCAGUGGGGAAUAUUGCACAAUGGGCGCAAGCCUGAUGCAGCGACGCCGCGUGGGGGAUGAAGGCCUUCGGGUUGUAAACUCCUUUCGCUAGUGACGAAGCUUUGUUGUGACGGUACCUAGAUAAGAAGCCCCGGCUAACUCCGUG